UACGAAGGAUGCGAGCGUUAUCCGGAUUUAUUGGGUUUAAAGGGAGCGUAGGCGGCCUUAUAAGUCAGUGGUGAAAUCCUAUCGCUUAACGAUAGACGUGCCAUUGAUACUGUAGGGCUUGAGUAUAGAUGCCGUUGGCGGAAUGUGUCAUGUAGCGGUGAAAUGCAUAGAUAUGACACAGAACACCGAUUGCGAAGGCAGCUGACGAAACUGUAACUGACGCUGAGGCUCGAAAGCGUGGGGAUCAAACAGG
rnacentral:rRNA from 1 species